CCCGCCGGAGACUAACAUUUGAACGCUGUCUGAAGUUUGCAGUCUGAGUUUUUAGUUAAACAAUCGUUAAAACUUUCAACAACGGAUCUCUUGGUUCCGGCAUCGAUGAAGAACGCAGCGAAAUGCGAUAAUUAAUGUGAAUUGCAGAAUUCAGUGAAUCAUCGAGUCUUUGAACGCACAUUGCGCCCCCUGGUAUUCCGGGGGGCAUGCCUGUCCGAGCGUCAUUGCUGCCCUCAAGCACGGCUUGUGUGUUGGGCUUCCGUCCCUGGCAACGGGGACGGGCCCAAAAGGCAGUGGCGGCACCAUGUCUGGUCCUCGAGCGUAUGGGGCUUUGUCACCCGCUCCCGUAGGUCCAGCUGGCAGCUAGCCUCGCAACCAAUCUUUUUAACCAGGUUGACC
rnacentral:rRNA from 1 species